GCAGGGUUUCCCGAGCGGUCAAAGGGGAUGGACUCAAAAUCCAUUGCUUAGUGCUUCACAGGUUCGAAUCCUGUACCCUGCA
rnacentral:tRNA from 1 species